UGUUUUUUUUUUAAUGUUUUGUUUCUAAUACCUAAUUUUAUGUCAAUUUCUAUUGCCCAAAGCUCUCGUACCCUCACUCUAAAACUCUCGCUAUUGUGAACUUUGUUGCUGCGUUUGCCACUCUGUCGUUCCCCUCUCCGUGAUGGCACCUUGUGUGACAAGGUCUUUUGCUUCCUUCUCAUGAGAAAUGCAAAAUGGGAUCUGAGAUUUGAGGGGUUUUAAUCUGUUUAAAGAUAUAAGAAGUGCAAAAUGAGAUUUGAGAUCUGAGAUCUCUCAAACUCUAUUCAAAUUUGAGAUAUGAAACCCGUUUUGGUGUGAAGAUGCACUCACAGGGGUGUGAUGCGCUGAAGGUGCGGUGCAUGAAGGUCGUAGUGAAGACAUUAAAGGUAUGUGUUGUGACACUCAGAUUUGAGAUAUGAAACCCGUUUUUGUUGUAGAUGGAAACCAUACUGCUAGAAGAUGACAAUGUUGCAAAAGCACUUCUUAGCUUUAUUUCAGAGUCCUGGGUUCUGACUCCUCAAAUUUUAUAACAAGGUAUGUGUUGCUAAAUAUUCAAAGUGUUAAAGGUUAAAGCAAAAACUAUUGCCAUCUUUUAUAACAAGGUAUGUGUUGCUAAACAAGAAGGACCUCCAUUGAUUCAGUUCUAGAGAACCCAAAAUUUCAAAAACUAUUGCCAUCUUUUGAUGAGUUACUUUGUGCUCUUUCGCUAGAGAUAAAGGUGAAUACAGAUGGGAAAGUUGAAAUUUGUUUGGUUGGUGACCCUGUAGUAACUUCUUUAGCAUUGCUUGUUGCGUUAGAUGCUCUGGAUGACAUGAUUUGCAAUCUUAACAAGUGUGAAAUCUAUGGGAAAUAUAUGUUUCAGUUGCCACUUUUAAAGUUAAAUAGAAUACAUUCUGGUUCAGCAAUUGCAAGUUCAAAGGAGUUGCCUUUUGAAUUGUGAGUUUGUUUAUAGCUGGCUAUUUUAUGUGUUUACCAUACGUAUGCCUUAUAGCAUCCAUAAAGUUGUCCCUGUUUUAUUAAAUUUCAUAUAACAUCAGCAUUUGAUGGCACUCGAAUGUCUAAAUGGGAAGAACCAAAUGGAGCAAGAGGUAUGGUUAACCAAAUAAAUAACUUACAACAUCAAAUUAUGGUUCAAGCUUAAACAUAGUUCUAUAGAAUUCAUUAAGGUGUUGCUAUCUUUCACCUACAAAUGGAAAAACAUGAUUUCUACUCUCCCAUUAGAAAAUAACAAGUUGUUAUAUGUCACCUACCAUAUGGUUAUACUAUAUACUAAUUGCUGAGCAAAAAAAAAUACUAUAUACUAAUUGCCAUUCUUAAUAAAUUAUAUAUUAAUGAGAUUUUAUUGGGGCUUUUUCUUUAUUGUAACUCAGUGGAUGAUUUUUAUGCCAACUACAUCAAACCAACCAUUGUAAAUCAUAUGUUGACUACUUGGCUUGGUAUUUUUCUUUGCUAUUAUUUUUCUGUAGUACCUCAAUAAAUAGAUUGUAAACCAACCGCUUACAAUUUAUAGCGUUAAGCUGCUAAUAGUCAAAUGUUAGUAAAUUGACUUCUAGUUAGUUUCUCUGCAAUGUUAUGCAAUUCCUUGUUAAAAUUCUCGUGAUUAGGAGUUUUGCUUUGUUGGUUUUCUUUCUUCAAGGCAUAGAUUUAAUAUUAAUGAAAAAAUUCAUAAUUAUGAAAAGUGUUAGGCACUGAAGCUAUAGUCUAUUUAAAAGAAAUAAGGGGUAGAGAAGGGAUGUGAGGGAGGAAGCAAUGAAAAAUAUUUAGUGUGCCCAAAUUGACUAAGUGGACUCUAAUCAUAAUAGAAUAGAUAGACAUCUUGCAGUGUGUCAAUGGAAAUGACACUCGAGGGAAAAUGUUGAAUGUUUUUCUAGGGGGUUGUGAGAGGAGGAGGAGAAUUUUGGGUAAAGUUGGUGGUCAUUUUGCCUCGGUAGAGAUUGCUUAUUGCAAUCUGUUAGUUUUGUUUUUUUCCAUCUUUCUAUUACUACAGGACUUUCCUCUUUUUGUUGGAUAAAUAAUAUUUAGAUAUUUUCAUUCCCUAUCAAAAUGCUAGUGCCAAAAGUGUAAUUCCAUUUGAUUUCUAUGUCCACCCUAUUCUAAAGGUGCAGACACUUGCUCUCUUGCUGCAUAGGUUGUUGGGUCGUGUAUUGAACAUUUGAUAACAUGAUGUUUGAGCUUGUAGCAUAUGAGUUGAUGUCAGCCAAUGAUGCACCAGAGAGGGAUCCAAUGGACUGUAUUUGUUUCCUUUGGGAGCAGUUGAAGCUGCUUAAUUGGCAGGAAUGUUCUCUUCUAAGUGUCUCUGAGACCAAUCUUUUGUUGAACAAACUUCAAGAGUUGUCUCUGGCAAAGUUGCGACCCCACUACAUUGAACCUUGCUUACCCCCUGAUGCACUAAGCUCUAUAGGUUGGCUCUAGCCACAAAUCUUGGUCGAGCCAUACUUGAUGAAUAGUCUUACCAAUAUUUAUAUGCUAGUGAUGGAUAAAUAACAAUAUCAUUCGACCAUAGUAGGCACGUGGAAGAGGUUGUAAAUUGCUUUUCUCCUAUAGGUGUCUCUUGUUGUAAAUUUGUAUGGACAUGGGACAGUUGGGGCAUUAGUUGUAUGUUUAUUUUUCAUUUAAGUAUUAAUCAUUGUAUCAGCGGGAAUUUUAACCUAAUUAGGUGUGUUUGGAAACACGAUGAAACCAUGUUCAACAAGAAAUUUUUGCGUUCCAUGCAAAAAUACCGAAGCAAUUUGGGUGUUGCUUCUGUGUUGCCUUGCCUUUUAAUUAACGCUUUCACAACCACAA